AAGGUGUGUGGUCACUCGAUGUGUGGAUGGGUGUUGUGUGGUUGGGCGAUAAGAUGUGGUCAGACGAGUUGUGAAGUGGUGGUAGAGAGAUGUAGGGGUUCCAGAGUGGGCACCGUCACUCGAUGUGUGGACGGGUGUUGUGUGGUUAGGCGAUGAGAUGUGGUCAGACGAGUUGUGAAGUGGCGUUGGAGAGAUGUAAGAGGGUUCCAGAGUGGGGUGUGGUCAGUCGAUGUGUGGACGGGUGUUCUGUGGUUGGGCGAUGAGAUAUGGUCAGACGAGUUGCGAAGUGGUGGUGGAGAGAUGCAAGGGGGGUUUUGGAGUGGGGAAUCGAGAAUGGGUGUAACAGGUGUUUUGUUCUUAUGGUGGUAUUUUUU
rnacentral:lncRNA from 1 species